AAACCCGGUGAUCUAGCCAUGGGCAGGUUGAAGGUUGGGUAACACUAACUGGAGGACCGAACCGACUAAUGUUGAAAAAUUAGCGGAUGACUUGUGGCUGGGGGUGAAAGGCCAAUCAAACCGGGAGAUAGCUGGUUCUCCCCGAAAGCUAUUUAGGUAGCGCCUCGUGAACUCAUCUUCGGGGGUAGAGCACUGUUUCGGCUAGGGGGUCAUCCCGACUUACCAACCCGAUGCAAACUACGAAUACCGAAGAAUGUUAUCACGGGAGACACACGGCGGGUGCUAACGUCCGUCGUGAAGAGGGAAACAACCCAGACCGCCAGCUAAGGUCCCAAAGUCAUGGUUAAGUGGGAAACGAUGUGGGAAGGCACAGACAGCCAGGAUGUUGGCUUAGAAGCAGCCAUCAUUUAAAGAAAGCGUAAUAGCUCACUGGUCGAGUCGGCCUGCGCGGAAGAUGUAACGGGGCUAAACCAUGCACCGAAGCUGCGGCAGCGACACUAUGUGUUGUUGGGUAGGGGAGCGUUCUGUAAGCCUGCGAAGGUGUGCUGUGAGGCAUGCUGGAGGUAUCAGAAGUGCGAAUGCUGACAUAAGUAACGAUAAAGCGGGUGAAAAGCCCGCUCGCCGGAAGACCAAGGGUUCCUGUCCAACGUUAAUCGGGGCAGGGUGAGUCGACCCCUAAGGCGAGGCCGAAAGGCGUAGUCGAUGGGAAACAGGUUAAUAUUCCUGUACUUGGUGUUACUGCGAAGGGGGGACGGAGAAGGCUAUGUUAGCCGGGCGACGGUUGUCCCGGUUUAAGCAUGUAGGCUGGUUAUCCAGGCAAAUCCGGAUAAUCAAGGCUGAGGUGUGAUGACGAGGCACUACGGUGCUGAAGUAACAAAUGCCCUGCUUCCAGGAAAAGCCUCUAAGCAUCAGGUAACAUCAAAUCGUACCCCAAACCGACACAGGUGGUCAGGUAGAGAAUACCAAGGCGCUUGAGAGAACUCGGGUGAAGGAACUAGGCAAAAUGGUGCCGUAACUUCGGGAGAAGGCACGCUGGUGUGUAGGUGAAGUCCCUGCGGAUGGAGCUGAGACCAGUCGAAGAUACCAGCUGGCUGCAACUGUUUAUUAAAAACACAGCACUGUGCAAACACGAAAGUGGACGUAUACGGUGUGACGCCUGCCCGGUGCCGGAAGGUUAAUUGAUGGGGUUAUCCGUAAGGAGAAGCUCUUGAUCGAAGCCCCGGUAAACGGCGGCCGUAACUAUAACGGUCCUAAGGUAGCGAAAUUCCUUGUCGGGUAAGUUCCGACCUGCACGAAUGGCGUAAUGAUGGCCAGGCUGUCUCCACCCGAGACUCAGUGAAAUUGAACUCGCUGUGAAGAUGCAGUGUACCCGCGGCAAGACGGAAAGACCCCGUGAACCUUUACUAUAGCUUGACACUGAACAUUGAGCCUUGAUGUGUAGGAUAGGUGGGAGGCUUUGAAGCGUGGACGCCAGUCUGCGUGGAGCCAACCUUGAAAUACCACCCUUUAAUGUUUGAUGUUCUAACGUUGGCCCCUGACCGGGGUUGCGGACAGUGUCUGGUGGGUAGUUUGACUGGGGCGGUCUCCUCCCAAAGCGUAACGGAGGAGCACGAAGGUUAGCUAAUCCUGGUCGGACAUCAGGAGGUUAGUGCAAUGGCAUAAGCUAGCUUGACUGCGAGCGUGACGGCGCGAGCAGGUGCGAAAGCAGGUCAUAGUGAUCCGGUGGUUCUGAAUGGAAGGGCCAUCGCUCAACGGAUAAAAGGUACUCCGGGGAUAACAGGCUGAUACCGCCCAAGAGUUCAUAUCGACGGCGGUGUUUGGCACCUCGAUGUCGGCUCAUCACAUCCUGGGGCUGAAGUAGGUCCCAAGGGUAUGGCUGUUCGCCAUUUAAAGUGGUACGCGAGCUGGGUUUAGAACGUCGUGAGACAGUUCGGUCCCUAUCUGCCGUGGGCGCUGGAGAAUUGAGGGGGGCUGCUCCUAGUACGAGAGGACCGGAGUGGACGCAUCACUGGUGUUCGGGUUGUCAUGCCAAUGGCACUGCCCGGUAGCUAAAUGCGGAAGAGAUAAGUGCUGAAAGCAUCUAAGCACGAAACUUGCCCCG
rnacentral:rRNA from 1 species